GUGGGUCAGGGAAGAGGGAGGGAGAGACAAGGUGCUGCUGCGUGGCCCGAUGCGCCAAUGAGACAAGGGAUGGGAGGAGUGGUGCAAUGUGGCUGGGCCAGCUCCUAGGUCGCGCGAGGGGGGAAAAAAGUUGGACCUCAGCCGUUGGCCACCAGGCCGAGAGAGGAGAGUGGGCCACGGGUAAAGAAAGGGGGAGGGGUUUUGGGGUCUUCGGCCAACAUAGAGAGGGAGAGGUUUUGCUUCUUUUCUUUUUUUAUAUUCUUUUCUAUCAAGCAAUUUUCAAAUCCAAUUUGAAAAGCAAUUUAAAUUCAGUUUUAGGCUUUGGUCAAAAACCACUCAUCUCAAGAAUAAAAUGCACU
rnacentral:lncRNA from 1 species